rnacentral:rRNA from 1 species
AUUGAACGCUGGCGGCAUGCUUUACACAUGCAAGUCGAACGGUAACAGGCCGCAAGGUGCUGACGAGUGGCGAACGGGUGAGUAAUGCAUCGGAACGUGCCCAGUCGUGGGGGAUAACGCAGCGAAAGCUGUGCUAAUACCGCAUACGAUCUAUGGAUGAAAGCGGGGGACCGUAAGGCCUCGCGCGAUUGGAGCGGCCGAUGUCAGAUUAGGUAGUUGGUGGGGUAAAGGCCUACCAAGCCGACGAUCUGUAGCUGGUCUGAGAGGACGACCGGCCACACUGGGACUGAGACACGGCCCAGACUCCUACGGGAGGCAGCAGUGGGGAAUUUUGGACAAUGGGCGCAAGCCUGAUCCAGCAAUGCCGCGUGCAGGAAGAAGGCCUUCGGGUUGUAAACUGCUUUUGUACGGAACGAAACGGUCUGGGUUAAUACCCCGGGCUAAUGACGGUACCGUAAGAAUAAGCACCGGCUAACUACGUGCCAGCAGCCGCGGUAAUAC